rnacentral:rRNA from 1 species
CCUACGGGUGGCAGCAGUGAGGAAUAUUGGUCAAUGGGCGCGAGCCUGACCCAGCCAAGUAGCGUGAAGGAUGACUGCCCUACGGGUUGUAAACUUCUUUUAUAAGGGAGUAAAGUGAGGCACGUGUGCCUUUUUGUAUGUACUUUAUGAAUAAGGAUCGGCUAACUCCGUGCCAGCAGCCGCGGUAAUACGGAGGAUCCGAGCGUUAUCCGGAUUUAUUGGGUGUAAAGGGAGCGUAGAUGGGUUGUUAAGUCAGUUGUGAAAGUUCGCGGCUCAACCGUAAAAUUGCAAUUGAUACUGGCAGUCUUGAGUACAGGUGAGGUAGGCGGAAUUCGUGGUGUAGCGGUGAAAUGCUUAGAUAUCCCGAAGAACUCCGAUUGCGAAGGCAGAUUACUAGACUGCCACUGACAUUGAUGCUCGAAAGUGUGGGUAUCAAACAGGAUUAGAUACCCCAGUAGUC